UCUUCUUCUGAAUGUAUCUCUUCUUCACAAGCCGCUUCAAGUAUGCCUCGAUGAUAAUCUUAUUAACAAUGAUGAAACCAUAGAGGCGGUAGUAGCAUAUCCAUUGCCAUAAUCUGAUUAUCUGAUUCCGUUUUCUCUUUUCCCGUUCUUUAAAAAUCACCAGCUAAGACAUAGACGGACAAAGGGAGAUGAUGAUUCUAAAUUCGUUGAUUGAGUUAUAGGGAUUUUUUUCACUGAUCAAAAGGAAACCUUGGGUUUCAAUUUGAUUUUAAUUUUGUUUAAUGUGCAAUGUAAAUUUUUGAAAUUCUAAACUAGGGUUUACGUUGUAUUCAAACCUUGUUGUUGCUUCAGGUGUUAGGUACAAUCGAUCUGAAAUUGAAGCUGUUACGGAUGAGAUUGAUGAUGAAUUGGGUUCUGAUUUGCAGAAAUGGUGAUGAUGUAUUGGGUUUGAAGAAUUUUCUACUGUGGUUGUAGUGAAGGUUAUUGUGAUUGAGUGAAUAACAUCGUCAAUCGAACUGGCCUGACUAAUGGUGGUCAUCCAUAUACAAUGGAAGUAAGAACAGGUAUUAUCAUUGAUUGGAUACUAGUUAAGUUACACUUCUGACAUUCUUCUAAUUCUGUUUUUCUUUGUCAAUUAUUUCUGUUGAGGUUGAAUUGUAGAUGGUUUAUGAGUAUGAGUGAAGCUGAAGUAUGGAGAUGUGCUAAUGCUGAUGAAUAGAUGAAUGAUUAGGACAGGGAUGAGCUGAAGAUAAUGGUGCACUUGCAGUUUUGUUGUGGUGUGAAGUUGGUGGCCAGAAUGGUUAUGUGCAGGUGAUUGAAGCUGCAGUUCAGGCGUUGCUGCUGUUGUUGGCUAGAUUUUGCAGAGUUGUUGUUGGUUUAGGUGAUGGGUCUUGCGCAGUCAGCUGGAUAUGUUGCGAUGCUGGUACUGAAAAUGAAUAGCUUUUGGUUUAGUGAAAUGUAUAGAAGAUGAUGGUGUUGUUGUCGUGAUUCAUGGCAGUAAAGAAGUAGGUUAUGCAGUGGAUACUUGUGAUUUUGAGCAGAGACAAAUUAAGUGGAUUGAAAUGAAUGAAGGUUGUUCUCCAUAUAUGGGAUCCUAUAUGCCUCAUUUUAAUAGCUUGUCUCUUGGAGGAAUCGUAGAGGUGUAUGAUGGUGACAUGUACAUAUGGUGACGUGUACAAGGUACACGUGUGUUCCCAGUCAGAGCCGAGUUACUUUGCAGACUCGGCGAGUUAAACUGCAAAUCGGCGAGUUGAUUGAUUCAAAGGGCUUAAUUGUAUUUUUAUCCUACACUAACAGUGCCAAAAAAGGUGGAUAACCACCGUUAGCCAAUUUGGUCAAAACUGGCCUAGUUUUGUUAUGCGGAAAAAAAAAAAAAGAAAAGAUACUCAUAUUUGAUCUGUAUUUCACUCAUAUUUGAUUCUACAGCGGUUGCCGACUGCAAGAAGCUUGCUAAAAGAUACUCGCCGUACUUAUUCUAUAUGUACGAAAACGGGAAAGAUCCUUUUUCCCUUCCAGCUACAACUGACUGCUAUCCAUGGAGAUCAAACUGCAAAAUGAUAAGACUGUUCUGUAAGUGGCCUUCACUUUUUUGACUAGGCAUUUCAAUCUCGCAUCUCCAAUUUUGUACACAUUAGACAGAAAAACUGGUUAAUAUUCCAAAUAGUACUUCUCGAUGUGCAUCGACUCUCUUAUAUAGGAAGCGAUAUUAUGGUAGUCACUGGGAAAAACGAGUCACUCAUUUAGCUCAUGGAACUGAUUAUGUGGUGCCUAAAAUCUAAUUACUGAAAUUAAUGCUGGAUUUGCCUUUUUUUGAA